UUCACAUCUGCUGACCAGACCCUAAUAGCAGCAGACAUCCUGUAAUGAACCAGUCCUAUUCAAGUAUAAAGGCUAUAUUGUAAUGCUGAUUGGAAUUUUAAAAUAUUUUGCGUUCAAGUGAUUUGCAGAAUCUCAUCUUUUUAAAAUUAUUUUUUGCAAAAGAUCUAAUUUAGUCAAAAAAUUUUAUAGCUAAAAGCAAAUUAAUACAUUUUUAGAAUAUAAUGUUAGAGCUCUUUUUCAUGCCAGUGUACAUAUAUAACUAUUUUUCUCACAUUGCUAAACAUAGCUAUCAUCCAGGAUAAUAAACAUUUCCCUAUAC